CCAGGGAUCCCCCAGUGAGAAUAAUGAAGAUGCUUCAGAAGUCUGACAAACUCUCUGCAAAGGACACCACAGAGACCCAGGAGGUGGUCCUGGGCUGUGGAAGAAUGGUAACUAAGCAGGGGCCUGGGAGUAAGGCAGAGAGUGAGCCAGCCAGCGGCUUUCCUCUAUGGCUUCUGCUUCAAGCUCCUGCGGGAGUCCCUGCCUAGACCCCCUCUGUGAUGGAUCAGGAGCUGGGGCAUGUUAAGGUAAUAAAAGCAUUCCUCUCCAA